CCUAAAUUUAUGUCCUUAAAAUAUAGCAUACGAAUAAAACAACAUGGCUGCAAACUUUGAAGAAAAAUCUGGUUUGAUCACAACCACAACAGAAUGGGGAAAUUGGGGUCAAACGAUAGAAGAUGUGCUUAUUGAAAUCAAUGUUAAAAGUGGUACAAGUCCCAAGGUUAUUAAAUGCGUUUUUAAGCACAAGGAAAUUUACGUUUCCGUGGACAAAAAUGUAAUAUUACAGGGUAAUCUCUUUGGUGGAAUAGUGAAGGAUGAAGCAGUAUGGACACUUGAGGAUAAAAAGUUGUUAAGGAUAAUCUUGCCCAAAAGUCACAAAGAUGCCUCGAACUGUUGGAAGUCUUUAUUUUCCACUAAUGAAUAUGCAGUAGAUUCAUACACCUUCCAAGAAAUGGAAAAAAAGUUGACGUUAGAAAGAUUUCAAACAGAGAUAUAAUUAAGCUACAUAAUGUAUAACUGAGAAUGAGGAUUUCAAGCAACUUUGUCUCGUUUUAAUAUGCUUACACGAGACAAGAGGGAAAUUUCUGCAAGACACACCUACAAACAAAUCUUUUCGGUUUGCUGCUUACAAGCAAUUCAUUUGAAUCCUGGUUUUGACUUCAGUAAAGCAGAAGUUAGUGGAAAUUUCCAAGGUGGAGGGCCGCAAUUUUAUAAAAGAUAAGUCAAAUGUAGGUGGUACAACAUUGGUUCGUAAAGAUCUGUGUUGCUAAAGGAAAGAAUUGAAAAUUCAAAGACAGUUGUUCUAUACGUUUGAAGAGAAUGAAGAAUGAAUGAAGAGUUGAGUUGUGUGGGAUCUGAAGCAAAGACCUUCAAAAACGUCAGAUGCAAACGAGAACUUAUUUAAAGCUUUAUUUUUCAGCAGGUUUUUUAGAUUGAAAAUCCGGAAUAAUAUUUCUAACUGUAAUAUACAUUGUACGUUUUUGUUAAGCUGACUAGAAUGGAAGGUUGCGAUACAAACAAUUUAUUUGGUAUUGUAUUUUAAGUCGCUUCCUUUGAACACUAGAAAUCAAUCAACCACCCUGGUUUGACUUUAAGUGCAAUUUAGCUCAAAAAUGUUGCUGAUCAGGAAAAGCAUACCAAUAAAGGUUUAUAUUUUUUAUUUUCUUGACAGGAUAUUUCAAAAAUCAUAAAUAUAUGUAAAUAUAGUUUUUAACAGA